CGGCCCUAAUAUAGUCUCCUCAAGCCCACCAUUUUCUCUUUCUAUAAUCUUGGUCACUAAUGGGCAAUCAUCAGCGAAGGGCAAAUGGGAUACAAUCAGACCUUGUGUUGAUGGUCCACAGCCUCUAAAUCCGGCCAAAUUAUAUUGCUUCUUUCAGAGAUCUAGUUAGCAUUCCAAAGACAAGAUGAAUAGAGUCAGGGUUGCCUCAAUCUCAUUGUCGCUUAAUCCCAUGGCCG
rnacentral:lncRNA from 1 species